GACAGAGGGUGCAAACGUUGUCCGGAUUUAUUGGGCGUAAAGAGCGUGUAGGCGGCCUAGCAGGUCUGCUGUGAAAACUCGAGGCUCAACCUCGAGAUGUCGGCGGAAACCGUCUGGCUUAGAGUCCGGAAAGAGGAGAGUGGAAUUCCUAGGUGUAGCGGUGAAAUGCGCAGAUAUCAGGAAGAACACCUAUGGCGAAGGCAGCUCUCUGGGGACGGUACCUAGACGCGAGACGCGAAAGCGUGGGGAGCGAAACAGG
rnacentral:rRNA from 1 species